rnacentral:rRNA from 1 species
GAUGAACGCUGGCGGCGUGCCUAAUACAUGCAAGUCGAGCGAACAGACGAGGAGCUUGCUCCCCUGACGUUAGCGGCGGACGGGUGAGUAACACGUGGAUAACCUACCUAUAAGACUGGGAUAACUUCGGGAAACCGGAGCUAAUACCGGAUAAUAUAUUGAACCGCAUGGUUCAAUAGUGAAAGACGGUUUUGCUGUCACUUAUAGAUGGAUCCGCGCCGCAUUAGCUAGUUGGUAAGGUAACGGCUUACCAAGGCAACGAUGCGUAGCCGACCUGAGAGGGUGAUCGGCCACACUGGAACUGAGAAACGGCCCAGACUCCUACGGGAGGCAGCAGUAGGGAAUCUGCCGCAAUGGGCGAAAGCCUGACGGAGCAACGCCGCGGGAGUGAUGAAGGUCUUCGGAUCGUAAAACUCUGUUAUUAGGGAAGAACAAAUGUGUAAGUAACUAUGCACGUCUUGCCGGUACCUAAGCAGAAAGCCACGCCUAACUACGU